CGCCCUCUGCCCCUACCAUGCAGGUACUAAUAAAAAAGUGUCAAGGUCAAAUAUCGUUCUGUCUAGCCUCAUUUCGCAACGCCGAACGCGCUAUAACGAACUUCGUUC